GUUUUCUCUCCUCUCUUAUGAGUUGGGUGGUUUUGUUUGUUGUUUCACAAAUUAGAAACAAAAGAAUGCAUCUAUGAUCCUCCUUUUUAUCUAUUGGAUCUUAUCUUGAUUCAACUAUUUUAAUUAUGAUUUUCUCUGUGUUAAGUAUUGUAAGGAGACAUUUUAUGAUGUUUUCCUUUUUUGUUGAUCUUUAUCACUGACUAGAGGACAAGACUGCCUUUCUUAUCUGCUUUCUGUUAUACAUAUAUAUAUAUAUAUAUGCAUAUUUAUAUUGUUUAUUCUUUAUGAUUUGCAGCUUCGCCAUUUCUGUGAUGCGUGGUCAAAUUUAGCUAGUGCAUAUAUGAGGAAAGGAAGACUUAAUGAGGCAGCCCGGUGUUGUCACCAGGCUCUUACAUUGAACCCUCGCUUGUUUGUCAGAAAAUGCAUAUGUUCUUGUGGUAGAGAUUUCAGGUACAAUUCCUACAGAAUUAUGGAAUCUCAAGAAUUUGGUUGAGUUGACGUUGCAACGAAACAAUCUGACUGGUCUGAUUCCUCAUGCUUCGAGUAAUUUGAGAAACCUUACAUUGUUGUUGGUCUGAUUCCUCCAGGUAAGCUUGCAACAGUAAUUUGUUUAUAACUGCAGGUAUUUGUGUGGCUUUUUGGAUUAUUAAUAAAAUUCCAUCAUUUAAAAAAAUGACACAACUCUAUAAAUAUCUAGGAUGAUUAUAGCUGAAAUGAGGAUGUUCAGAUAGAUUAGGGGCAAGAUGAGGAGUUUGUUCCUUGUAGGAUUUUACAGCUGUGUAAAACUUCUAAGUCUCAUGGUGGAUGUGGCUACCAUAUGCUAGUUGUUGUCAUUUAUGCUCCUUUUGAUUCUUGAUUCACUUUGUAGUUAUUCUGCUUUUGAAGAAGUUCUCCCACAUGCUCCAACAUUGAUGACUGAUGUGUUUGGCAAUUAUGUUAUUCAAAAGUUUUUUGAUCAUGGAAGCCCUGAGCAGAGAAAAGAACUAACAAAUCAGCUUGCUGGCCACAUUCAACCUUGGAGCCUUCAGAUGUAUGGGUGCCGGGUAAUUCAAAAGGGCCCUACACAAUUCAAUCUGGCUAAUCUACGCUUACACAUGUUGCCCUUUUUAAUGGAAGGUAUGUGCUUGAUUUUAUUUUUAUUGUUAUUAUAGUUGUUGUGGGAUGCAAAUAUGCUCUGCUUGAAUUCAUGAUGGGAGCUGAUUACUUGGGUUUUACUAACCAAAGGGUAGGUGUUAAUGCAGAUGGACAACAUUCUUAUGAUCUCAAACUAGUUUGAGAUCUGUGACUAAGACUCACUAACACAACAUCGGCACCAUAUAUAGACCAAUGUUUCAAAAAUUGAACCAUAGGCCAACCCAUUUCAUAAGUAGGAAGAAAAUCGGGU